rnacentral:misc_RNA from 1 species
AAACACUGUAACAACCAAAAGGGAAGAGUGCAAGCUUGGCAACAAGUGAAGAUACCCAAUUUCACCUUUAUUGCUCUCUGAUAACAGGUACCCAGAUUCUUCCUUCUUGAAGAAUUUUCCCAGGAACCAAACAGAAAACCUUAAGCAAGGAGGAAAUAAUGUGUUCCCAAGAAGGACUUGAGGGACCAGAAUCAAGAGGAGGCCUGAGUUCUUGCUAAAAACCAUCAUGUUUUCAUUUGUUGGAACAAAACCACAGCUUGCAAAGGUUGAAACAAUGGUAAAGAAAGAAAAUGUGACCUUGUUUAGUCCCUUGGUUUUAAGGACAUUACUUGCACUUGAAACAAUGGCUAGAUAAAACAAAACUAAGCUAAUUCCUAGAAAAUGAGCCAAAAAAAGGUAACCCAAAACUACAAAACCCAAGAACCUUAUUGAAUUGGAUUUCAACAACUUAAGAUCUAAAGAAGCAUCGCGUUGGGUGUGAGUUUCAUUUCCUGAUUCCAGAUUUUCAGAAUCUUGUUUUGUUUCAGCUGUACUCAUCACCUCAAUGUGAUGAGCAUGAGCUGCUGAAACUAAUCCUCCAUUUGUCCAUCUUCUUUUGAGCUGGUAUUUGCUCAAAUGAAGUCCCACCACAGAAGUGAAAACCUCUCCACCUGUAAACAUCAAAAUGGUUAAAACAAUGAGUUGGGGAUUGGAGAAAACCUCCAUUUCAACGGUGGACAUGCUUGAAACUGUGGCUGCAGACACAGAUGUGAAGAAAAAAUCCAAGUUCCUAGGAGUGAAAGAAUCGUGGGUUCUCGUCCUCAAAGCCUUUAGAACCCCAAAACCAAGAAACGAAAGAGAGAUAAAAUAACAGAGUUGAAUCCAGAAUGGAUUCAGUCGGACAAGGACGAACCUUUGACACAUCAAGGUUGAGGAACUACAGAGACCGUACAAUUUUUUACCAAAACACGAGGACAAGUCCCUCAUCUUUGCCUUGGAUGGGAAAUUUUUCUUG